AGAGUUUGAUCCUGGCUCAGGACGAACGCUGGCGGCGUGCCUAAUACAUGCAAGUAGAACGCUGAAGACUUUAGCUUGCUAGAGUUGGAAGAGUUGCGAACGGGUGAGUAACGCGUAGGUAACCUGCCUACUAGCGGGGGAUAACUAUUGGAAACGAUAGCUAAUACCGCAUAAUAGUGUUUAACACAUGUUAGAGACUUGAAAGAUGCAAUUGCAUCACUAGUAGAUGGACCUGCGUUGUAUUAGCUAGUUGGUGGGGUAACGGCCUACCAAGGCGACGAUACAUAGCCGACCUGAGAGGGUGAUCGGCCACACUGGGACUGAGACACGGCCCAGACUCCUACGGGAGGCAGCAGUAGGGAAUCUUCGGCAAUGGGGGCAACCCUGACCGAGCAACGCCGCGUGAGUUAAGAAGGUUUUCGGAUCGUAAAGCUCUGUUGUAAGAGAAGAACGUGUGUUAGAGUGGAAAGUUCACACAGUGACGGUAACUUACCAGAAAGGGACGGCUAACUACGUGCCAGCAGCCGCGGUAAU
rnacentral:rRNA from 1 species